AUUAAUUUGAGAGUUUGAUCCUGGCUCAGGACGAACGCUGGCGGCGUGCCUAAUACAUGCAAGUCGAACGAACUCUGGUAUUGAUUGGUGCUUGCAUCAUGAUUUACAUUUGAGUGAGUGGCGAACUGGUGAGUAACACGUGGGAAACCUGCCCAGAAGCGGGGGAUAACACCUGGAAACAGAUGCUAAUACCGCAUAAUAACUUGGACCGCAUGGUCCGAGUUUGAAAGAUGGCUUCGGCUAUCACUUUUGGAUGGUCCCGCGGCGUAUUAGCUAGAUGGUGGGGUAACGGCUCACCAUGGCAAUGAUACGUAGCCGACCUGAGAGGGUAAUCGGCCACAUUGGGACUGAGACACGGCCCAAACUCCUACGGGAGGCAGCAGUAGGGAAUCUUCCACAA
rnacentral:rRNA from 2 species